CCUGCGGAGGAUCAUUAAUGAAUUCACUAUGGAGUUGUUGCUGGCCUCUAGGGGCAUGUGCACGCUUCACUAGUCUUUCAACCACCUGUGAACUUUUGAUAGAUCUGUGAAGUCGUCUUUCAAGUCGUCAGACUUGGUUUGCUGGGAUUUAAACGUCUCGGUGUGACAACGCAGUCUAUUUACUUAACACACCCCAAAUGUAUGUCUACGAAUGUCAUUUAAUGGGCCUUGUGCCUAUAAACCAUAAUACAACUUUCAACAACGGAUCUCUUGGCUCUCGCAUCGAUGAAGAACGCAGCGAAAUGCGAUAAGUAAUGUGAAUUGCAGAAUUCAGUGAAUCAUCGAAUCUUUGAACGCACCUUGCGCCCCUUGGUAUUCCGAGGGGCAUGCCUGUUUGAGUGUCAUUAAAUUCUCAAACUCACUUUGGUUUUUUCCAAUUGUGAUGUUUGGAUUGUUGGGGGCUGCUGGCCUUGACAGGUCGGCUCCUCUUAAAUGCAUUAGCAGGACUUCUCAUUGCCUCUGCGCAUGAUGUGAUARUUAUCACUCAUCAAUAGCACGCAUGAAUAGAGUCYAGCUCUCUAAUCGUCCGCAAGGACAAUUUGACAAUUUGACCUC
rnacentral:rRNA from 1 species